rnacentral:rRNA from 1 species
GACGAACGCUGGCGGCGUGCUUAACACAUGCAAGUCGAACGGAAAGGCCCUGCUUUUGUGGGGUGCUCGAGUGGCGAACGGGUGAGUAACACGUGAGUAACCUGCCCUUGACUUUGGGAUAACUUCAGGAAACUGGGGCUAAUACCGGAUAGGAGCACCUGCUGCAUGGUGGGGGUUGGAAAGUUUCGGCGGUUGGGGAUGGACUCGCGGCUUAUCAGCUUGUUGGUGGGGUAGUGGCUUACCAAGGCUUUGACGGGUAGCCGGCCUGAGAGGGUGACCGGCCACAUUGGGACUGAGAUACGGCCCAGACUCCUACGGGAGGCAGCAGUGGAGAAUAUUGCACAAUGGGCGGAAGCCUGAUGCAGCAACGCCGCGUGCGGGAUGACGGCCUUCGGGUUGUAAACCGCUUUCGCCUGUGACGAAGCGUGAGUGACGGUAAUGGGUAAAGAAGCACCGGCUAACUACGUG